rnacentral:ncRNA from 1 species
GGACGGCUGCGGGGGUGCCGUCCGGAAGCCGCCUGGGUCGUACGGGCCCGGCGGGUUUCCCGGGCGGCUGAGAGGGCAACGCCCAACCCUUGGAACCUGAUCCGGUUCGGACCGGCGGAGGGAAUCGGCCGCAAGGAACGC